rnacentral:rRNA from 1 species
AUGAACACAUUGGUGCUACACAUGAAGCAAUCUCUGCAGCGGUAUGGUCAUAUUAUGAGUGCUGAUGACCAUUACACCAGAUGGCAACAGGCGAUGCCUUCCCACUUGCAGCAGGCCGUGCUGUUGUCACGCCACGACAUGGCGAGGCCGCCAUAUCGCGACAGCCCAGAAAGGAAACGGAGGAGGUUGCGCUUCUCCUGCUCGGUGCAUGCGGUGGCAGGAGAGGCCAAGAAGAGCAGCAGGAUCAGCUGCAGCACGACCGGAGGAAUGGUGAAUGAAUGCAUUGGUAAUUCUUUUCUGGCGACUAAUUUGGCCUCAAAUGCAGUCUGCAGAAGAAUAUUGUUGACAUGUUUCUCCAUUUUGAUUUCUGAACAUAGACAGUUUUGUUGCUAA